rnacentral:rRNA from 1 species
UCAGAUCACGUAAUUUUUUAAUAGUCGAACAGACUACCUUCUUUUAGCUCCUUCACCAAAAUAAAAAUUAAUUCAACAUCGAGGUCACAAACUUAAUUAUUAAUAAGAACUUGUUAAUUAAAUUAUGCUGUUAUCCCUAGAGUAACUUAAUUCUAUAUUAUUUAAAAUCCUUUAAAAAUUUUUAUCUUCAAACGUUACCCCAACCAAAAAUUUUUCAAUCACAAGCUUCUAGGGUCUUCUCGUCCCAAAGUUUUAUAAAAGCAUUUUUACUUUUAGUUUAAAUUCAAGAUAAUCAAAUAAAACCAUCUCCUUAGUAUAAACCCUUCAUUCCAGCUUUCAAUUAAAAAA